AUAAUCCACCCAGAAUGGCACAUGCAAGCCAAAACUAAGGAUAGAAAAAGGGAUGAACUUGUCAAAAGUGCUGGAUGGACUGUACUGGACUGAAAGCCCUGGAUCUGUUGAACUGUUAUAGCAUAAGUAACAGUGUGCAAGGCUCCCCCUGCCACCUUUUUGGCGUCAGAAGACACCUGUGAACCAGGACAUCUGUAGUGGUGGUUCUGGUGAUGACCAAGUUGUUCAGCAGAACCUGGACGGAGACCAUUAGCUCAUUUCACAUAGACACACAGCAACUUCCAGUCACUGUGAGCUUGAGUAGACUUAGGCCAGUGCUCUUACCGCCCAUCGCAUCCAAGGUAUAUUAUUCCUGUGGUGCAGUAUUGGACUCCAUGGAAAGAGGUCUUAUUUUAUCACCAGGCUUUCCAAAUAACUACUACCCAGGGACACACUGUGUGUGGCAGUUUUUCAUUCCUGUUAGAACCCAUCUUAUCCUGGAAAUUCUUGACUUUGAUGUAUUUGAGAGCUCAAAUGAAACUCCAGACCCUUGGGAUGGUUUUUUUUCUUCUUCUAAAAGAAAAAAUAUGGAGAUGUUUCCUACUGAAGAAAACUCUGACCUUCCCAUCACUCUUGCUCCUACAAAAUCCUCUGUUCUGGCUGGGAUGUCAAAGGCAACCCAGAAACAUAGCAGCCCAGGAGCUCAGUCAAAGCGUCUUGCUGGCCGCUAUGAUGGAUUCCCAGUAACUACCUCCAAAAAAGAAGAAUACAAACAAACAUCUGAAGAAAAACAGUUCAGACAGAUGGAAGAACCCAAAGAAAUAGCUAAGUCUCGGCCAGAUGGACUGCCAUUCACUGUGGCUGGCAAUACCACUACGCAGCGGCAAAAUAUCAGUGGCCUAGAGAUGAACAGAGAUUUGAAAGGGAAAGUCCUGCUUGCCCACCUCACUGCUAGAAGGAGAGAUGAGGUCAUGGGAGAGAGUCAGCCUCUCUCCACAACAGUCUUACCAAAAGAAAGCUCCACCACCCAGCAGUCUUCAGCAGAUGUGUGUCCCCAUGAUGUCUUGUAUGUUUCUGACCUCAUCACAUUUUCCUCUCGCUUCUGUGGGGCAAACUUGCCUUUAAACAAGACCAUGGUCUUCAGUUCAUCUCUGGAGAUGGUGGAGGUUAUUAUGGAGCUGAUCACGACCACAGAUCGUGGGAGGGGCUUUGCGAUGCUCUUUGAAUAUAAGAACAUCACAGAACCUAAUGCCAUGGAUGUGGUGAGGCAGGAUGGAAUGGAAAACACAAUGAUGCUGGCAAUAAUAACUGGAAUUAUCUUCUUUGCACUUGUUCUUCUGUCUACCCUCUGCAUAACUUGCAGGCAGAAAAUGUGCCCCAAAAGGAACCCUUCCAAUGUACACAGUGACCAGGAGAAUGGGAUCCAGAACUCCGCCAUAGAUAUCAAUGAGCUCCAACUUGUGGUGCCAACUCGAGAGAAUGAAAACAACAAUCACACUGUCAGCCGGGACCAAGCUGUCACUUCCUCUGGAGGCAGCACAGAACACUCUUCUCGGCAUACUGACCCAGACGUGCCCUCUUCUAUGUCUGCCGUGACCACUGAAACGGGGAGCGAUGAAGUAUUUAUUAUUUCAGCCGGCCCUGGUGCCAGCGGGUUGAGUUUUACCACAUACAGAGUACAGGACAAAAACCUAAAGAGAAGUGUCACAAGUCCAGCUUCUGUGUCAGAUUGGCUGACUUCUGAUCAUGUGGCUCCAGGAGCAGGGUCUUUCUACAGCCACAAGAAACCAGUGUGUAACAACCAGAAAAGUAAUUUCAGCUACUGA
rnacentral:lncRNA from 1 species